rnacentral:rRNA from 1 species
UACGUAGGUGGCGAGCGUUGUCCGGAUUUACUGGGCGUAAAGCGCGCGCAGGCGGGGUGUUAAGUCUCUGGUGAAAUCGCCCGGCUCAACUGGGCGGGUGCCGGGGAGACUGGCAGCCUAGAGGUGCCUAGAGGCCGGUGGAACUCCCGGUGUAGUGGUGAAAUGCGUAGAGAUCGGGAAGAACACCAGUGGCGAAGGCGGCCGGCUGGGGGUGGCCUGACGCUGAGGCGCGAGAGCGUGGGGAGCGAACCGG